GACGUGCUAAUCUGCGAUAAGCGUCGGUAAGGUGAUAUGAACCGUUAUAACCGGCGAUUUCCGAAUGGGGAAACCCAGUGUGAUUCGUCACACUAUCAUUAACUGAAUCCAUAGGUUAAUGAGGCGAACCGGGGGAACUGAAACAUCUAAGUACCCCGAGGAAAAGAAAUCAACCGAGAUUCCCCCAGUAGCGGCGAGCGAACGGGGAGCAGCCCAGAGCCUGAAUCAGUGUGUGUGUUAGUGGAAGCGUCUGGAAAGGCGUGCGAUACAGGGUGACAGCCCCGUACACAAAAAUGCACAUACUGUGAGCUCGAUGAGUAGGGCGGGACACGUGGUAUCCUGUCUGAAUAUGGGGGGACCAUCCUCCAAGGCUAAAUACUCCUGACUGACCGAUAGUGAACCAGUACCGUGAGGGAAAGGCGAAAAGAACCCCGGCGAGGGGAGUGAAAAAGAACCUGAAACCGUGUACGUACAAGCAGUGGGAGCACGCUUAGGCGUGUGACUGCGUACCUUUUGUAUAAUGGGUCAGCGACUUAUAUUCUGUAGCAAGGUUAACCGAAUAGGGGAGCCGAAGGGAAACCGAGUCUUAACUGGGCGUUAAGUUGCAGGGUAUAGACCCGAAACCCGGUGAUCUAGCCAUGGGCAGGUUGAAGGUUGGGUAACACUAACUGGAGGACCGAACCGACUAAUGUUGAAAAAUUAGCGGAUGACUUGUGGCUGGGGGUGAAAGGCCAAUCAAACCGGGAGAUAGCUGGUUCUCCCCGAAAGCUAUUUAGGUAGCGCCUCGUGAAUUCAUCUCCGGGGGUAGAGCACUGUUUCGGCAAGGGGGUCAUCCCGACUUACCAACCCGAUGCAAACU
rnacentral:rRNA from 2 species